CCUACGGGUGGCAGCAGUGGGGAAUAUUGCGCAAUGGGCGAAAGCCUGACGCCGCGACGCCGCGUGAGGGAUGAAGGUUUGAGGAUCGUACACCUCUGUCAGAAGGGAAGAAGUUGCAUGGGGCAAAUCACCUGUGCAUUGACGGUACGUUUAAAGGAAGCACCGGCUAACUCCGGGCCAGCAGCCGCGGUAAUACGGAGGGUGAUCGCGUGAAUUGGAAUUGUGGGGCGUAAAGCGCACGUGGGCGGUAUGUCAAGUCAAGGGUGAAAUGCCACGGCUCAAACGUGGAACUGCCUUUGAAACUGGCAGUCUGGAGGAUGUGUGAGGGCGGCGGAAUUCCUGGUGUAGGAGUGAAAUGCGUAGAUAUCAGGAGGAACAUCGAUGGCGAAGGCGGCCGCCUGGCACAAAACUGACGCUGAGGUGCGAAAGCGUGGGUAGCAAACAGGAUUAGAUACCCUAGUAGUC
rnacentral:rRNA from 1 species